UACCUGGUUGAUCCUGCCAGUAGUCAUAUGCUUGUCUCAAAGAUUAAGCCAUGCAAGUCUAAGUACGAGCUCUCGUACAGUGAAACUGCGAAUGGCUCAUUAAAUCAGUUAUGGUUCAUUUGAUCGUACAGUUUACUUGGAUAACUGUGGUAAUUCUAGAGCUAAUACAUGCGAGAAGCGCCGACCUCGCGGGAGGCGUGCAUUUAUCAGACCAAAAACCGGCCGCGUCUUCGGGCGCGUUCGCCUUGGUGACUCUGGAUAACUUUGCGGAUCGCACGGUCUAGCACCGGCGACGGAUCAUUCAAGUGUCUGCCCUAUCAACUUUCGUCGGUACGGUAUUUGCCUACCGAGGUUCUUACGGGUGACGGGGAAUCAGGGUUCGAUUCCGGAGAGGGAGCCUGAGAAACGGCUACCACAUCCAAGGAAGGCAGCAGGCGCGCAAAUUACCCAUUCCCGACGCGGGGAGGUAGUGACGAAGAAUAACAAUGCAGGACUCGUUCGAGGCCCUGUAAUUGGAAUGAGUACACUUUAAAAGCUUUAACGAGUAUCCAUUGGAGGGCAAGUCUGGUGCCAGCAGCCGCGGUAAUUCCAGCUCCAAAAGUAUAUAUUUAAGUUGUUGCGGUUAAAAAGCUCGUAGUUGGAUUUUGGGCGCAGGCGGCCGGUCCGUCGCAAGGCGUGUACUGGACGUCCUGGCCUUCCCUCCGGUUCUCCGCCGGUGCUCUUGACUGAGUGUCGGCGGCGGCCGGAACGUUUACUUUGAAAAAAUUAGAGUGUUCAAAGCAGGCUCUCGAGCCUGGAUAAUGGUGCAUGGAAUAAUGGAAUAGGACCUCGGUUCUAUUUUGUUGGUUUUCGGAGCGCGAGGUAAUGAUUAAGAGGGACAGACGGGGGCAUUCGUACUGUGCCGUUAGAGGUGAAAUUCUUGGAUCGGCGCAAGACGAACGACUGCGAAAGCAUUUGCCAAGAAUGUUUUCUUUAAUCAAGAGCGAAAGUCAGAGGUUCGAAGACGAUCAGAUACCGUCCUAGUUCUGACUAUAA
rnacentral:ncRNA from 1 species